GGCCCACCCUGGGCAGGAGGCAGUAGUGCUCAGGAACCAGCAUGGACAUGAGGGCCCCCAUGCACCUCCUUGGCCUCCUGCUGCUCUGGUUCCAAGGUGCCAGUUGUGCCAUCCGGGUGACCCAGUCUCCAGCCUCCCUGGGUGCAUCUCUCAGAGACACAGUCUCCAUCACUUGCCGGGCCAGUCAGAGUGUUAGCAGCGAAUUAGCCUGGUAUCAACAACAACCAGGGAAGGCUCCUAAACUCUUGAUCCAUGCUGCAUCCACUUUGCAAAGUGGGGUCCCUUCCCAGUUCAGGGGCAGUGGAUCUGGCACCGAUUUCACCCUCACCAUCAGUGGCCUGCAGACUGAAGAUGUUAGAACUUAUUACUGUCAGCAGUAAUACAGUGCACCUCCCACAGAGUUACAAGCCAGCACAACCCCCCCCC